rnacentral:rRNA from 1 species
GAUGAACGCUAGCUACAGGCUUAACACAUGCAAGUCGGGGGGCAGCACAGUGUAGCAAUACACGGGUGGCGACCGGCGCACGGGUGCGUAACGCGAAUCCAACCUUCCCGUUACUCUUGGAUAGCCUUCCGAAAGGGAGAUUAAUACAAGAUGGUAUUCAAAUUCCGCAUGUUAUUUGAAUUAAAGAUUUAUCGGUAACGGAUGGGGAUGCGUGACAUUAGAUAGUAGGCGGGGUAACGGCCCACCUAGUCUACGAUGUCUAGGGGUUCUGAGAGGAAGGUCCCCCACACUGGAACUGGGACACGGUCCAGACUCCUACGGGAGGCAGCAGUGAGGAAUAUUGGUCAAUGGUCGGAAGACUGAACCAGCCAAGUAGCGUGAAGGAUGAAGGUUCUAUGGAUUGUAAACUUCUUUUAUACGGGAAUAAAACACCUUACGUGUAGGGUCUUGUAUGUACCGUAUGAAUAAGCAUCGGCUAACUCCGUGCCAGCCGCCGCAGUAAGAC